rnacentral:rRNA from 1 species
GAUGAACGCUGGCGGCGUGCUUAACACAUGCAAGUCGAACGGGAUCCAAGGGGUGCUUGCACUUUUUGGUGAGAGUGGCGAACGGGUGAGUAACACGUGAGUAACCUGUCCUUUUCUUUGGGAUAAGCAUUCGAAAGGGUGUUUAAUACCUUAUGUUCUGUCUGCCUCGCAUGGGGUGGGUGGGAAAGGCUUUGGCCGGAUUUGGGUGGGCUCGCGGUCUAUCAGCUUGUUGGUGGGGUGAUGGCUUACCAAGGCUUUGACGGGUAGCCGGCCUGAGAGGGUGGUCGGUCACAUUGGGACUGAGAUACGGCCCAGACUCCUGCGGGAGGCAGCAGUGGGGGAUAUUGCACAAUGGGCGAAAGCCUGAUGCAGCGACGCCGCGUGGGGGAUGAAGGCCUUCGGGUUGUAAACUUCUUUUGCUCUGAACAAGGCAUGCCAGUGGGUGUGUUGAGUGGAGGGGUUGAUGAGCGCCGGCUAACUACGUG